rnacentral:rRNA from 1 species
CCUACGGGAGGCAGCAGUGGGGAAUAUUGCGCAAUGGGCGAAAGCCUGACGCAGCGACGCCGCGUGAGGGAUGAAGGUCUUCGGAUCGUAAACCUCUGUCAGCAGGGAAGAACGGUCACUGUGCUAAUCAGCAGUGAAUUGACGGUACCUGCAAAGGAAGCACCGGCUAACUCCGUGCCAGCAGCAGCGGUAAUACGGUGGGUGCGAGCGUUAAUCGGAAUUAUUGGGCGUAAAGCGCACGUAGGCUGUAUGUCAAGUCAAGGGUGAAAUCCCCGGGCUCACCGUGGGAACUGCCGUUGAAACUGGCAAACUGGAGUGUGUGAGAGGAAAGUGGAAUUCGAGGUGUAGGAGUGAAAUGCGUAGAUAUCUGGAGGAACAUCAGUGGCGAAGGCGACUAUCUGGCACAUAACUGACGCUGAGGAGCGAAAGCGUGGGUAGCAAACAGGAUUAGAUACCCUUGUAGUC